rnacentral:rRNA from 1 species
UACGGGGGGAGCAAGCGUUGUUCGGAUUUACUGGGCGUAAAGGGCGCGUAGGCGGUCAGCACAAGUCAGUUGUGAAAUCUCCGGGCUUAACUCGGAAAGGUCAACUGAUACUGUGCGACUAGAGUGCGGAAGGGGCAACUGGAAUUCUUGGUGUAGCGGUGAAAUGCGUAGAUAUCAAGAGGAACACCUGAGGUGAAGACGGGUUGCUGGGCUGACACUGACGCUGAGGCGCGAAAGCCAGGGGAGCAAACGGG